UCGUAUUAGCGACCUGUUCGGAAUAGCUAGCUUCUAACGUUAGCGCUUUAAGUAAAGCCAUGUAGAGUUAAAUAAGACAGUGCCUUGUGUUUGUUCAACGGUCUCUGACACAACCCAAGCCAGGACGUCUGUUUUCACGACGACAACGAGGGACUGGGGUUGUUUGAGAAGUCCAACCGUGUGGAAAGGAAGAUGUUGCUGUUGCUAGCUUAGCUAGCUUUGCUUCGGACAACGAACUAACGAACGACCGUCCCGGUGCAUUGGAUGCAAGCUCACACGAGGAUAAAGGAACUGGAGGUGCUUGUGUUGACAUGACAUCAAUUAAGGUAAUUCGUCUCACCAAGUCCUCCCCUCGGAAAUGUCUGACUUGGUGUCAGUGACUGUCACACCAGGGAAGGGAAGGCUAGUGACCACAAGCUAACCUUGCUCCCAGAUGGAUCACAACAAAGCCACAGAAGAAACCUUGACCUGCCAGAGAUCCACGUAGUGAUCCACGUACUCCAGCCCCUGCCUCAUAGCUGUGGUUUGCCAUGCUUCCUUGAGGAUCCUCCCUGCCAACCACUGCCGGGUCUUAUUCCCCCUGGCAGCAAGGACUUCAUGACUUGCUUUGAGCCUGCUCUCUUCACAGGUGGCUCAGAGUGUACAUACAUACACACAUAUA